rnacentral:lncRNA from 1 species
UAAUAGCACUUACAUGUGCUUGGAAUAAGGUGCUUACUUAAACUGCUUGAAAAAGAUAGCUGCUAUUUAAUAUUUUCCCUAUUUCAAUAUUUUGAUACACGGCUUAAGGUAACCAAGUUGUCUUAUUCUUAGUACAUGUACUGUGCUGGUCUGUGUUAUAGUACUAGCACUUACAUGUGCUUGGGAUAAGCUGCUAUCUAAA